GACAGAGGCCUCGAGCGUUAGGCGGAAUCACUGGGCUUAAAGCGUGUGUAGGCGGGAGCGUAAGUACCUUGUGAAAUCCCACGGCUCAACCGUGGAACUGCUGGGCAUACUGCGGGUCUUGGGCCAACUAGGGGCAGCCGGAACAAGCGGUGGAGCGGUGAAAUGCGUAGAUAUCGCUUGGAACGCCGAAGGUGAAAACAGGCUGCUGGGGUUGCGCCGACGCUGAGACACGAAAGCCAGGGGAGCAAACGGG
rnacentral:rRNA from 1 species